UUUUUUCUCACAGAACCCUGUGAGAGACCAAACUCUGCGUAGGAUACUGCAGUAGAGUGAACAACAUCAUCACCAGCCAUAAUCGAUAAUAUGCCUCCUUGUUGGCCUGCAUCAAAGCAAUGUCACGCAUGGCCAGCAGUAGUGUGCUACAAUUUGCUGCCUUCGUCAUAGAAGCAGGGAUGAAAGUCCUUAAUGAGCAUGACACAGAUCAAGACUGAACUCAGGAGAAGCUCCACUCUGCAAAUGUAAGGCCACAGGCUGGAGGACUCCAGCGCGAGAUUUGGCUGAAGCAGGCUGAGGACUGCUCUAAAUACCAGCAUAGAUACACUGUCAUAUUCAGAACGAAAGCCCAGGACUGCCUGGAUUUGAAAUACUUUGGCAAAGAACAAAUACAGCAGCAAUUCAAAGGGUAACUGAUAAAGACUCAAACUUCUACCCAGAAGAACUUAAUUUUCUAAUUACUAGUCAUCUGUUCAUCAAGAGGAAUCUGAUUGAAGAGGCUGGGAAAAAAGCACGAAAGAGAUUGAUCUGCAGCGAUAUUUGCUGCAAAGUCAGUGAGGACGUGUACAAGUGGAGCUUGUGAUGAAACUUAAGAAGCCAGCUGUGGAUAUCUUAGUGUCCCUGAAGUCAAAAGAAGUGGUCUUACUAACUUGUUUGUAAGUCAUAUGGUCAAACCAUGGUUGAGAACCUAAAGAUUCUACCCACAAAUGGAAAAAAGUACUGUUGCCUUGAAAGGAUUAACAGUAACCAGGCUGUUGAAGCUCUAAAAUCCCAUGUUCAACUUUAUUCUGUAAUAAUGAGGCAUGAUGUUCAGUGCUACAACCCAUUUUCAGACAAUGGUUUGAUUAAAUGUUUAAUGAAUGCCUCUAAUUUCUUUGUGAGAGCUUCUCUCUAAACAACCAAGCUAAUAACGUAAACAUUAGUAUUUGAUUAUUAAAAUAAUUGCUUUCAGGAACACUAACCUCCUGGCAAACAAAAUGGCACAGGUCACAAUUUUUGCAUAAAACCCCAUUUACAGUUAACCAAUGGCUUUUAUAAAAAAAAAACAAACCAAAACAAAACAAAAACUAGUCCAAAAGUAUUAAAGAUGGUGAUCUUUUGGCCAAAUGCCUGGAGAUUUGAUUCAAUUAAUCAAGGCAAUUGGUAAAAAAAAUAAUUAAUUUAACCAAAUGACCAUCUUCAGGAGCUUUCCCCAAGCAGAGCUGCAGGAUGUCUCCUCAAAUGAACUCUGCUCUCUGGCUAAGAUUAACCAAAACCGAGACCUUCCUUUAAGCCAAAAUUGUGAAGGAUUUGUACUCAGUUAAUGUUUUUUUUCCAGGAGUUACUUUGGAAAAGCCCCUGUAUUUUCAGCAAGGCUUUAAUGAGAAAAUAGAUGGACAUUUAUUUUUUUUCCCCCUAGCUUUAUAACCAAAAAUCAGAAGUAUUUUUGCAAAAUGGUGACAAAUUUUCAAGCCUCUUAAGUAAAAAAAUCUUAGUUAAACGGGUUGUCAAAACAUUUUGAAAACCUGUCAACAGCUCUAAUUCUUAGAAUCCAUGAUUCGGCACUGCCUGAGAUACUGUCUUGUCCGUGCUGAAGCAGCUAAACCACCUUUCUGGCUGAUUCAGCUUGGCCUUUUUUCUUCAUGGAAAGUUACUGGUACAUUUUCCUAUCUAUUAUGUGAUUCUUUAAGCUCAUCAGCAUCCCAUCAGCACCAUCCGGAGAGGACAUCUCCAGAAAGGUUACCACAGACUUCAGAGCCAGCCAGCUUCUACUGCUUGGAAUAGGUUUGCAAAGAACCCAAGGAAACAGCCAAUUUUUCAGUCUCUCUAUGGCACAUCCAUCACUUAAGAGGGGACAAUGCACGGCAUGGCGAGAGUAUGGGUUGCAUGAACUUUUCUAACCAUCUUCCCACCGAAAACCUUACUAGCCUUUCAUAGGAGCUGAAAUUGCCAAGCACUGUGGAGAACUGGAUC